rnacentral:tRNA from 1 species
GCCUCCGUAGCUCAGGGGAUAGAGCACCGCUCUCCUAAAGCGGGUGUCGCAGGUUCGAA